GAUGAAGAACGUAGCGAAAUGCGAUAAUUAAUGUGAAUUGCAGAAUUCAGUGAAUCAUCGAAUCUUUGAACGCACAUUGCGCCCUUUGGCAUUCCGAAGGGCACACCUGUCCGAGCGCCGUCGCACAACUGAGGCGCAGCCUUGCGUUGGCGGGCGACUUGUGAGUAGCGAGUCGCCGCCCAAACGAGACGGCGCCGCGCCGCGGCCGACGAAGCACGAAAGCGGAAGUCGACGCGGAGGCGGUUGCCUGUAGGAAGACACAGCUUGGCCUCGGAUCAGGUGGGGAUACCCGCUGAACUUAAGCAUAUCAAUAAGCGGAGGA
rnacentral:misc_RNA from 1 species